GAUGAACGCUGGCGGCGUGCCUAAUACAUGCAAGUCGAGCGAACGGACGAGAAGCUUGCUUCUCUGAUGUUAGCGGCGGACGGGUGAGUAACACGUGGAUAACCUACCUAUAAGACUGGGAUAACUUCGGGAAACCGGAGCUAAUACCGGAUAAUAUUUUGAACCGCAUGGUUCAAAAGUGAAAGACGGUCUUGCUGUCACUUAUAGAUGGAUCCGCGCUGCAUUAGCUAGUUGGUAAGGUAACGGCUUACCAAGGCAACGAUGCAUAGCCGACCUGAGAGGGUGAUCGGCCACACUGGAACUGAGACACGGUCCAGACUCCUACGGGAGGCAGCAGUAGGGAAUCUUCCGCAAUGGGCGAAAGCCUGACGGAGCAACGCCGCGUGAGUGAUGAAGGUCUUCGGAUCGUAAAACUCUGUUAUUAGGGAAGAACAUAUGUGUAAGUAACUGUGCACAUCUUGACGGUACCUAAUCAGAAAGCCACGGCUAACUACGCGCCAGCAGCCGCGGUAAUACGUAGGUGGCAAGCGUUAUCCGGAAUUAUUGGGCGUAAAGCGCGCGUAGGCGGUUUUUUAAGUCUGAUGUGAAAGCCCACGGCUCAACCGUGGAGGGUCAUUGGAAACUGGAAAACUUGAGUGCAGAAGAGGAAAGUGGAAUUCCAUGUGUAGCGGUGAAAUGCGCAGAGAUAUGGAGGAACACCAGUGGCGAAGGCGACUUUCUGGUCUGUAACUGACGCUGAUGUGCGAAAGCGUGGGGAUCAAACAGGAUUAGAUACCCUGGUAGUCCACGCCGUAAACGAUGAGUGCUAAGUGUUAGGGGGUUUCCGCCCCUUAGUGCUGCAGCUAACGCAUUAAGCACUCCGCCUGGGGAGUACGACCGCAAGGUUGAAACUCAAAGGAAUUGACGGGGACCCGCACAAGCGGUGGAGCAUGUGGUUUAAUUUGAAGCAACGCGAAGAACCUUACCAAAUCUUGACAUCCUUUGACAACUCUAGAGAUAGAGCUUUCCCCUUCGGGGGACAAAGUGACAGGUGGUGCAUGGUUGUCGUCAGCUCGUGUCGUGAGAUGUUGGGUUAAGUCCCGCAACGAGCGCAACCCUUAAGCUUAGUUGCCAUCAUUAAGUUGGGCACUCUAAGUUGACUGCCGGUGACAAACCGGAGGAAGGUGGGGAUGACGUCAAAUCAUCAUGCCCCUUAUGAUUUGGGCUACACACGUGCUACAAUGGACAAUACAAAGGGCAGCGAAACCGCGAGGUCAAGCAAAUCCCAUAAAGUUGUUCUCAGUUCGGAUUGUAGUCUGCAACUCGACUACAUGAAGCUGGAAUCGCUAGUAAUCGUAGAUCAGCAUGCUACGGUGAAUACGUUCCCGGGUCU
rnacentral:rRNA from 1 species